GACGAACGCUGGCGGCGUGCUUAACACAUGCAAGUCGAACGGAAAGGCCCGGCUUUGGGGGGCUGCGCGAGGGGCGAACGGGGGAGCAACAUGUGAGUAAGCUGCCCUUGAGGGUGGGAUAACUUCAGGAAACUGAAGCUAAUACCGGAAAAGAGCUCCUGCUGCAAGGUGGGGGCGGGAAAGUUUCGGUGGUUGGGGAGGGACUCGCGGCUCAUCAGCUUGUUGGUGGGGUAGUGGCUUACCAAGGCAUGGACGGGUGGCCGGGCUGAGAGGGGGACAGGCCACAUUGGGACGGAGAUACGGCACAGACUCGUACGGGAGGCAGGGGUGGAGAAUAGUGUACUAUGGGCGGAAGGAUGAUGUGGCAACGCCGCGUGCGGGAUGACAGGCAGCGGGUUGUAAACCGAUUCCGCCUGUGACGGGGCGUGAGUGACGGUACUGGGUAAAGAAGCACCGGCUAACUACGUG
rnacentral:rRNA from 1 species